rnacentral:rRNA from 1 species
GACGAACGCUGGCGGCGUGCUUAACACAUGCAAGUCGAACGGAAAGGCCCCUUUGGGGGUACUCGAGUGGCGAACGGGUGAGUAACACGUGAGUAACCUGCCCUUGACUUCGGGAUAACUUCAGGAAGCUGGGGCUAAUACCGGAUAGGAAUCCUUGCUGCAUGGUGGGGGUUGGAAAGCUUCGGCGGUUUUGGAUGGACUCGCGGCUUAUCAGCUUGUUGGUGGGGUAGUGGCUUACCAAGGCUUUGACGGGUAGCCGGCCUGAGAGGGCGACCGGCCACAUUGGGACUGAGAUACGGCCCAGACUCCUACGGGAGGCAGCAGUGGGGAAUAUUGCACAAUGGGCGGAAGCCUGAUGCGGCAACGCCGCGUGCGGGAUGACGGCCUUCGGGUUGUAAACCGCUUUCAGCAGGGGCGAAGCUUGUGGUGACGGUACCUGCAGAAGAAGCACCGGCUAACUACGUG